rnacentral:ncRNA from 1 species
GUAAGCCGUGUGCGGGAGAACCGCACGCACGGUUUGACGGGCGGGAGCUGGAAACGGAGCAGCCCGGC